rnacentral:tRNA from 1 species
GUGGCUCAGUGGUAGAGUGCUUGCCUAGCACGCAUGAGGCACUGGGUUCCAUCCCCAGC